rnacentral:lncRNA from 1 species
UGCUUGUGUUUUCUUUUCAUCUUGUGUUUUCCAGGAGCUGGUGCUGGGGAAGGCACUAAUGAUGGUGAGGGGGCUGGUGGUGGAAUAGCUGGUGCUGGCACAGGUGCCGGUGGUGGUGUUGCUGGUGCGGGUGCAGGUACUUCCUUAGCUGGAGCUGGUGCUGGUGGUGGUGUUGCUGGAGCUGGUGCUGGAGACACUUGUGGUGGCGGUGUAGCUGGUGGUGGUAUUGGAGUGGCAGCUGGAGAACUUUGUGGUGGUUGUGGUGGUGGAACUACUGGGGUGGUAGCUGGUGCGACUUUAGGAGAUGGUGAUGAUAUAGGAGUGGUUGCAGUUGGGGGUGUCACUGCACUUGCUGGUGAUUGUGUUGGAGUGGUUGGUGUGGUUGUGGGUGGAGGUGUGGUGGUUGUAGGUGUUGAUGGCGAAACAGCUGGUGUUUGGGCAUCAGUAAUAGCUAGUGGGAAACUCAGACAUGCCAAGAUGAGAGCCCAAAGCACCGAAGCCAUUUAGUUGUGAUGAGAAUCAACAGGAAGACGUAACAUUGUUAUAUAGAGUUAUGGAAAGGCUUUUAAAUUUAGUAAAUGUUUGGUGGAAUGUUAAGAGGGAGAGAUGUUGUCUUCAUUUGAAUGCGACAUCCCUUCUAAUGAUCUGGAGUGAUGUCGUAUUCGGACAGCUCUGCAAUUGGCUGGUCCUAUCAACCAAGAUUUGGGGCCUAAAAUUGAGAAAUCUUGCUGAAGAAAAAAGAUGUACUGCUUUAAGUUUUAGCUAUAUGGAUGCAGUUAUUUGUGUUGAUAGGAUUGUCAAUGGUUGUGCUGUGUUUGAUUUUUUGCUGUGCAUUUUCAACUCAUUUAGAACCGAGCACGAAGAGUGAAGGCUCUGGAGUUUCUUUUUCUUCAAGGUGGAAUGUCGUAAUUAGGCAAUAUGUGUUUGCUUUUUACUAGAAUCUUGAAACUAACAAAAACUUGAAUCACGAGUUUAUAUUUUAUGAUCAUAAUUUCCGCAAUCAUCGAUAUGUUGUGGUAAAUAUGGCAAAAUGGCUGGACAAGUGAUGGAGUGAAAUGAGAGGGAGGCAAUGCAGCCGGCAAUCCGGGCUAACCUUUCACCUACUCAGCAGAGACCACGAUGUCGAUCCUAACACAACCUAAACAUUGGUAAGCAGUCCCUGUCCGAUUUAAGGAAAGAAAGGUCAGGUUCCCUUUUCUUCCUUUCUUUUUUUGUUGGUGUUUAAUAUUAUAGUGCAUGGUAUUUUAAAAAAAAUAUUUUUAACUUGAAAAUAUACUAAAAUUAUUUUUUUCCAGAUUUUUAUUUUUAAUAUCAUCAAAACCAUUGGAAAAUACAAAAAAUAUCAAUUUAAUAUUUUUUAAAAUUAAGUACAUCCAAAUACAAUUUCAAAUACGGAAACAAAUUGUGCCUACUCAGUUAAGGACUUUUGUUAGUUCACGGAGCACUCUCCGAUCGAGUUUGGAAAGUCGUAAUCAAAUGCAUAAUGCCCAACGCAGGAGCUGAUAAUUGUCAUACCCACAAGUUCAGGCUUGAGACCAUCUGUUGCCAGAUUCUAACCACCCACAAUUGGGAAAGCAAAUUGUAUCAAAUUAUCAACUUUCAUAACUUGGGGCUGUUCUGCCAACCUGACGAUAUCCACCAGUCUCUGCCAACGAAACCCCCCCCCCCCUUUUUUUUUUUUUUUCCACAACGGACAUACAAAAUUUCUGCAGUUACAAUUACAGAUUAUAACUCAAAAGGGUUUACACUUUACAGUGGUUUGCCACAGCUGAUCUAUGACAAUUGCUACCGCAGGCCCACAUGGAAUCAAGAUAUCUGGGCCCUGAGGACUGAUAUCUGUGACUAUUUUCAAUGAUAUGAUUAUCUCUCAAUGUUAAUAAAAGGUUUUAUUCCCAAGUCAUUUUUCACCUUUAGACGUGGCGAUUUGAAGUUUGUUGGAUUUCAUAUUCUCAUAAAGACACCGAAUAUAUAUUCAAUUGGAUUGAAAGAUAAUACAGUUUCCAGAACGUUUUUUAUUAACUUACUUGAUGGUGUUCUACCAUCUCUUACAAACAGAACAUGGCAUGGAAGAUAUCUUGCAUCUUACCGAGGAUUUUAGAUUGUGGGUUUGUUAUGGGAAGACAUGAAGGUUGAGGAGGGGAAUCUUCUUUCUUCUCCUUUUUCCUUCUCCUAAGCUGGAAAAAUUGCUGCAUUACAUCUGCACACUCCAAUUCCAAUAUUCCUCGCCGGAUUGCCAUCUUUGGAUGGAAAGGAUGGACUGGAGCGGCUGGCUUAUCUGCCAGUUCUGAGCCAUUUCCAUCUCGUCCAUCAGGAAAAAGCCUGCAAGGAUUGUCACACAGGAAACUUUUGGGAAUCAUAAGCCUCGGAAAUUUCUGUUAUGAGUCGGCUGAAUGCCUGAUCAACUUGAAUCUAACUAGCGUGUGAAUGGUGGUUUGUUCUAUCCUCUAUACCACCAACCACCCCCCCCCCCCCAAUUCUAGCAGGGAUUUACUUUGUGGUGACUGGAACAAGCAGAGAUUCAUGUAAUACCAGCAGCCAUUUCAGAUAAUGGCUAUGGAAACCAAUUUAUCAUUUUCUUCCCAAUAAAAAAAAUAUAAUAAGAAAUAAAUGACUGAUUUAAUAAAUGUGCUCUAUUAAUUAUGUUUUGAUCCACGGAUGCAUUGGGAGCACUAUGAACAUUGAUGACAGAAACAGGAUAGGGGAACAAUUCAAAAGGAAGAAAAUGUGCCAAGUGUAUCUAAGUCUAAUUAUAUUGUAAUGGCAAGGCAAUGUUAACCCUUUCCCAUUGGGACAUAAUGUAUGGUCAGAUCACUUUAAUAACCAUUAACCAGUCUCAGCAUGGACGGACCAAAUAAGGCAUUUCUGUUUUGAAACGAAUUUGGCACUCAUAAUUUUUAUCAAGUAAAACACUUUAAGAACAAGGCUUUGAUUCUUCAUAAAUAAUAGUCAGAUGUACAAAAGACCAGUCUCCCAUUUCAAUGAGAUUUCAAGGAAGAUGAGCUUACCUAAUCCAGCUUCCAUCAGCUCCAAGAAGCUUAUUGGGAGCUCCCCAUACAAGAGUAUUUAUUCUUGCUUGAAGUAUUGCUCCAGCACACAUAGGACAUGGUUCAAGUGUUACAUAAAGAGUAGUCUCCUGCAAAUCAAAUCAUUAAGCCCUCGCUGUGAAUAUCAGCAGAGUUAGAACAGUUCCUUGAAAAGUGAUUUCCACUUUGAAAGUCAGCUUUCAUUUGAUAAGAUAUAAUUUUCUUAGUAUCUUUUCCUUUCGUAUGUAAAACUUAGUCAUUGAAGAGGUUAAAACAGUUUGAUAAUGACUAAACUAGUUAAGAGUGAAUGCAUUAAUUAAUAAUUAUAGUUUCUUUAUGACAUUGAUUAUUUCAAAAGAAUCGAGGGAGUAAAUAAAAGCUUUCAAAACAAAGAGAAAGUACCGAAAGCCUCCAUGACCGGAGUUGAUUUGAUGCCUCCCUAAUGCAAAUCAUUUCUGCAUGGGCGGUGGAGUCUCGUAACUCCUCCACUCUGAAAUAUAAAUCUCCACAUAAAACCCCAAAAUAAAGAAGCACAAUAUAAGGUUUUAAUCACAAGUGCAUACAACUUACAGGUUGUAGCCACGAGCAAUAAUCUUCCCAUGAUGCACCAUCACGGCCCCAACAGGCACCUCCCAAGAAUCGGCAGCCUUCUUGGCGUCUAGCAGGGCUUCCCUCAUAAACAUUUCAUCAAUUUUCCGCUGCUCACUUUCACAUAAAUAAGCCUCUUCCCAUUCAUUGAAUCUGUCUCUCCCAACUUGCUCAUUUCGUUGAAGCUUCCUUUGUUUCAACUCCACACCCUUCCCCUCAGAGCCUGCUACUUCAAUUAACUUUUCACUAUCAGGUCGCUCCAUAAGCUCCAUUGAGCCACUAACAGAAAUAUUAUUUUUAGCAGCACCAAAACUUUCUUCCACAAUGGGACCACUUGUGCUAGAAGGCGGCGAUAAAACUAGUGAUGAUUCCCCUACUUCCAUGCUAGAUGUAGCAACUUGAGAAUUGUUCCUAUCUUGACUACAACCAAGGUUUUCCUCUUCAGAAGGUGAGGAAAUACCUUUUGACGUGAACCCAAUUUUUAAUGUAAUUGAAGGAGAUGAAGUGUCUCCUUCAAGCGGUCUUAUUACGUUCUUUGAUCCAAAUGUGUCAGAUGCUUUUACCUCAUCUGGACUAGAAGUCUGUGUUAGUUGCAGCUGGUGAGAAGAGGCAGCUUCCUUAGGCAUACUUUUUCUUUCCCUUUUCAGAUUCUUAUCACUGAUUUCAUCAGGUUCAUGGCCAGAAAACCAUGCUUCACUAGUAACAGAAUCAUUUGACAAACUCUUUCCACCUGAUCUUCGAGUUGAUUUAGGGGUUUCAGCAUGUGAACCCCAGCGCAGUCGUACUAUAUUUGAGAUGAUAUUCCACAUGGACCUUCCAGUUCUCCUAACAACAAUACUCUUGAUUGCUGUGCUACCUGCUGGUGCUUCUGUCUCUGGAGGUUCCUGAACAGACGGGUUUGUUACAUUCCACAUUUCAUCUGAAGGACCCUUCUCUCCAGAGUCCCCAGAUGAUUGCAUUGAGUCCUGCCUCUUCAACUGUAAGUCUUUAGUAUCAUAUUGACUUGAACUCUUUCGCCUCUGCUUCUCAACUUCAUAUGCCAACUUUGUAUCAGAAACUGUCUUCUCCUUUUGGAUUUCAGAAGUUGACACUUCAUGCCUAGCUUUCUCAACAAACUCUCCAACAAACUGCAUUGAUGACGCCUCUAAACGAUGAGCUGAACCAAGAGCAUCUUCAGUCAAGGUAAGAUUUGAAGCCUCCCCAUAUAUCUCAUCUUUCUUAUUUCCACCAUAUUUUUCCUGCUGGAAAACUGCAGUUCUCCUUCCAGAAUUUCUAUACAGAGUACUAGAGCCACAUUCCAAAGAUUCUCUGGAAUCCUCUUGAUUUGCGAUCCCACCAGAUGAAUUAAUAUGAAAUGAACCUCGAUCUAACAAUUGAGGUGAGGGAAGCAUCGUUAUUGUCUGUGAUGUUCUUUCAUUCCCCUCCCCCACAUCAACCUGUUGAAUUCCAACUUUGGAAACCAUAUUUGCAGAUGCUUGAGAAUCAAAGGCCUCCUGUGAAGUUGUUUCAUGAAGCCUUAAUUUGUUAGUAGCCCUACAAACCUCACUUGAAGAUUUGGACUGAGUGAGAUUUUGCUCAAUUUUAUCGUCUCUCUCCCUUGUCUCGCAAAUGGCUUUCACAGCUGAUGUCAAUUCAUUUUCUUGAUCAAAAACUCUCUUUCCAGAAGUUCUGCCAAAAUUGGUGACCAUUGUCAUAUCGCUUGCAUGGACCAGUGACACAUUGGUGAAAUCCAGAGAUAUAUUGGUGGCAUCUCCAGAUACCUUGCUGGAUUCAGUUCCCUGAAGAGCUUUUUGAUCUGUGUGCGACUGGUGCUCUUUUGCUUCGGUACCUGAUCUAGAAACAACACUUUUACUUACCUCCUGCUGCUUCAUUCUAGUUUCUGAUAGUAGAAUCGAAGUCUUUUUGUUACUACUGUCAUGAACUUCUGAUAUUUUAGAUAACUGUUGUGAACUUCUUCUUGACUGAACCUGUCCACUUGUCUGCCCACCCAUUUGGAAUUUUUGCUCAUUUGUCUCAUAAAAUGAUCCUAGAGCUCUAUCUUCUACCAGAAUCUUCAUUCUAGACUCAGAUUGCCUCUGCAAAUUUGAAACUCUUUCAGUACUGGCAUUCUCAGUUGUUGAUGUGUCAAUGAGUUGGUGAGUGGCUCUUCUUAUAUUGUUUUUUGCAGCAGUUUCACCAACUCUUUUAUAACGUUCAUCCCUUCCUUCCCAAACCAAAUUUGCAUCCACUAGAUUUUCUUCUCUACCACUGAACCGCUUCUGGGAUUGGGAAGCUUUUUCAACAUUUAUUCCACUCCUCUCCUGUUUAUUGGUAAUUUCCUGGUAACUUCUUCUGAAUUCAGAUUGCUCUUUGACUUGAUCCCCCAUCUGACAAUAUCGCUUUCUUGUUUCUUUCUCCAAAUUAACCGCCAAACUUUUCUCAUCCUCAUUGCCAAUCUGGUUAUGAGAACUUGAUACCUUCCUGUAAUCACUUUCAUGGUUUCUCGCCAUUCUUGAUUGCAUUUGUGAGGAUUCUCUUUCUGAUUGUGUUUCUUCAAUCUCAGUAAGUUUCUUCUCAGAUUUCUUCCUCGGAUCCCACUCAACACCAGUCCUUCUUGCACUAGUUCUCGCUUCCAGAACCUCCCCCUUCCACUCUGUGCCAUCUCUAUGCCUCCUAAACUCUUCCACAACUUGCCCCUCUGAUCUACCCUCUCCACUUCUUAAUUCCUUCCUGUAUCCACUUGAUGAUUCUUUGGGACAAUCAACAUAUUCAUCCAGAGAUUCCGUGUCACUCUCAAUAUCUCCUGCAGAAGAAAGUGAAUAAAAUGACGAAAAACUAGAGCUCACUCUCCUUCCCCUGUGAUUCUCCCCUUUUGAAACCGCUUUCUUUUCUUCCUUUUCUUUCUGGUCUUCCAUCUCUUCCUUCCUCAACUCAACUUUAGCUGACUCAAAUUCACAUUUUGCAUCACCCUCCAAUGAACUGAGCCCAACAUUCUUCUUCCUCCUCCUCCCCUUGCGAGUUCCGCCACUGUGAUUCCCCCUCUUCACCAUUUCCACUCUCUUCGACAAACCCCAAUAUCUCUCCCCGUCACCUAAACACUGUCCACUCACUUCCUCGCUCAACAAACUAAUCACAGUCUCUGCAUCAUUAACCCCACUAAAACAUCGCCUUCCGCGCAAUCUUACCCCCCCAAUCCCUCCCUUCCUUCUCCUAAGAAUUUUCUCACUCCCAUUAUUCUCCUUAAAACAACAACCAUGAUCAACACCAUAAUCCGGGACGCGGUAAUAAUCCCUACCCAUCCCACCCAAGAUCAACCUUCUAGAAGCUGAACAUUGAAUAAGACUAGCUUGCCUCAACCCAAAAAAAAAACCUGGGUUUAUUGGCACUCUAUGUAAAGUAGCAGUAGUAGUGAAUGAUGACGAUGCACAACAAGAACAAGAAAAGCAACAACAAGAACCACAUGAUGAAGAACAAGAUUGUAAUAAAAAUGGGUUUCCUUCAUUUAAUGAGUUAGAGUAUUCAUUGAAAGAAAAUGAAAGUGGCCCUUUCGUUCCAAGAGACAAAGAAGCUAAGCUAAUGUAAGUGUUGGGCAUCUUUUCUUUUCCAAUGUUAUAGAGAGAGGCUUACCUUAAUGGAUUUUGUGGAGUUUUUUAAGCUGAAACUGGGAGUGAAACCAUGUGAGGUGUUCUGUUUUGGAACUGGUUUCAUGAUUUCUACUUUCGGUUGAGAGAGAGCUAGUGAUUUUGAAUCCGAUGAGUUGACUCUCUCUGGGUUGGCUUAACUCGGUCGCCUAUACAGAGUGAAACAAACUGGGCUGCUGGCUUUUCAUGUGGUUGCACUUAACCAAACACUACUGGGCCUUCAAUGUAAUACUAAUUGGGCUCUGAUCUAAAAUUGUCUUCUUAAGAAGUCCAAUCCAUCCAGCCCACUAUAAAGACUGAGUUUUUGUGCUUUUACUUGCCGAAUUAAAGUCUCUUUUAUUAACUAGUAAUCAUUAUUGAUCGGCGCUAUUCCGGGUCAAUUUAAAAUUUUAUUAAUAUAUAAAAAAAAUAUUUAUUGUUAAUAUUUUUCUAGUAUAAAAAAAUUAACUGUGUGGAGGUUAAUUUGAUAUAUCCUGAUCACCUUGAUGGAUCUAAAAACAAUCGAAACAACGUAAAAAUAUAGUUUGAUUCAUAAAAAAUCAAGAAAAUAUUUUUAAAAAAAUAAUAUUGAAAUAAAAAUAUAUUGGAUCAAUCCGGGUCAACCCGAGUUAACCCCAUAUAAAGCAAAUCAAAAUAAAUUAUGAAAUUUAAUUCUCAAUCAACCCAAUGUUGAAGAAUGAAAUUGAAAAAAACUAAUAAAAAAAUAAUUGAAUUAACCUAUCAAACUCGUGACCCGGAUUAUGAGAUUAUGAUAACCUUAUAAAAAGUAAACAAAAAAAUGAUAUAGGUCAAUUUAGAUUAAUUUUUCAAACUCGCAACUAAAGUCAUGAGACUCGAAUAACUCCAUAAAAAGUAAAUCAAAAUAAAUUAUGAAUCUCGGUUUUUAAUAAAUCUAAUAUCAAAGGUUAAAAAUGAAAAAAAAACAAUUUAAAAACAUAACACGAUAAAACAACGUGAGUUGCAUGGGAUAACCCGCAAAACAUAUUACCUGAAUCAUAAGAUCAAGAUAACCUUAUAGAAAGCAAACUAAAAUAAAACAUAAAGUCUAAUUCAUAAUCAACCUAAUAUUAAAAGAUGAAAUAGAAAAAAAAUAUCAAUUAAAAAAUAUAAAAAAAAUACUCGAGUCAACUAGAUUAACUCGUCAAACUCAUGACUUAAGUCAUGAGACCGAUAUAACCUUGUAGAAAAUAAACCAAGAUAAAUCAUGAAGCCUAACAUCCAAUCAACUCAAUGAUAAAUGAUUAAAUUGAAGAAAAAUAUCAAUUAAAAAACAAAACUCGAGUCAACCCGUCAAACUCGUGACACGGGUUAUGAAACCAAGCUAACAACGUAUAAAGCAAACCAAAAUAAAUUGUGAAGCAUAAUCUUUAAUAAACUAAAUAUUAAAGUAUGGAAUUAGAAAGAAAAAUAGAUUUAGAAAGAAAAAAAAACUAUUAAAAUGAAUAGUAUUUUAUAAUACAGUGUAUAAUAAAUACACAAUCUCUCUUAAUUUAUACUAUAUUAAUUUUAUAUAAGUUAGAAAAAGUUUAUAAUACUCCAGGAUUAACUAACGAUGGCUACACUAUCAAUCCUCCUUAAAGAUACAGACAAGUAAAUAAACAAAAGAGAUAUGUUUAUUAAAAAAUUAUUUAUUAAAAUAUUUAUUUAGAGUUUAAUUGGAGAUGAUAAUGUAAAAAGAAACUCACUUAUGAAAUGAAUCAACAUCCAAUUAUGAAAAGUUAUGCUGCUUGCAAAAUAAAUUACAAGAUUGUGUACGUACUCUUGUUAUUUUAAUUAUACAUGGGAUUUAGAUAAUAAUAUCAUUUAGAGGAUAAAAAUAAUGAUUUUGAUGAUUUAUCGUAGUAGUAGAUUAAUACUAUACAUGUGUUACGAGAAUAUACUCGAUGAUGUUUUCUUAAGAUAAAAACAUAAAAUCUCAAUGGCUUUUAAUUUUUUUUAUUUUAAAUUAAUAUGUUUUUAAAUUAUUUAAUAUACUCGAUGAUGUUUUCUUAAGAUAAAAACAUAAAAUCUCAAUGGCUUUUAAUUUUUUUUAUUUUAAAUUUAAUGUUUUUAAAUUAUUUUGAUAUAUUGAUAUAAAAAAUAACUUUUUAAAAGUAAAAAAUAUUAUUUUAAUAUGUAUUUUAAUAUAUUUUAAAAUAAAAAAUACUUUAAAAAACAACUACAAUCAUAUUUCUAAAUUUUAACAACGGAACUGUUUUUUUAAAAAAUAUAGUCCUGUACAGUACUGGCAAUCUAGAUAUAAAUUAAAUAAAUAUUUAAUCGAUUGAUUAUUCAUCACUGGAUACCUAAUUUCUCUGUGCCUAAUAAAAAGUCAGCAAUUCUGUUUGAUAACUUCAAAUCAAGCAUGGUGCCGGCCGGCCCGUGGAAAAAAUCAUGCAUGGUGGCUAUGGCUAACAAGCACCUUCAAAGUAGAUUCUCUCUUAAAUCCCAAUUCAGAGCACUCACAAUUGACAUAAUUCAUUAAUUAUUAUUCAUUUGUCCGUGGAAACGCAGUAUACGUUGCCAAAAAAGACUCAGUUUAUCAUUUUUUAAUUAAGAUGAUCAGCUAGUGGCAACCCUUUAUUCUGGUGAUUAUGUUUUGAUUUUGUAGAUUGAUUAAACUCUUGACUUGGACAAAAGUUAUGGAUAUAUUUGGUUAUAAACAAUGUUUAGCUUAUUUUAAAAAUCAUUAUAAAAUUAAAUUAAAACUCUACUUUAAUAUUAGUUCUCAAUCUUAACUUGUACUAUUUUUCUUUAGCCAAAUAGACGUUUCGAGUCAAAAAGAUUCAUCAACCAUGUUUUUAACUUGAUUAUUUAUAAGUUAUUCAUAAAAAAUAAUUAAAUAAAUAAUAUUAAUUCGCGAUUAGAAUCAUAACAAUUGAAAAAAAUACGAGACUAAAUUAAAACCUCAGUAAACCUAAAUGAUGAAAUUGCUGUUAAUGGCAGUGUACACUUGUCGGAACUUAGCUGUGUUGCGCAUAAAAUAUUAAUUUAAACAUCUCUAAAUUGAGAGCUGUUGCAGCUGUUCUUCUUUUUCCGCACGGUCCUCUUCAUUAAGGCACAUCUUAAGGUCUCAGCUAAUCUCUUAUAUUCGUCAAAAGAAGAUUAAUUAGCUCCUACAAUUAAUUAAUGAAGCCCUGGCAUAAAUAACAUGUAUUUUUCUUUUUAGUACAAAGACAUGAAUUUCACGUGGCACAAAUAGUUUUACGACACAUCAGUCAACAUGCUUUUUUUUAUUAAGAAAUCAAAAGGCAGACUCGAACCUGUAUGCAUGCAUGCAUGCAUGUAUGUAUGUAUGAGUGAGUGAGUAACAACAACAUUAUUAAUGAUAGUAUAAAUUAAGUAGAUAUACUAUUUGAAUGAUAAAAUCAAUUAAUCCAAGGAUCAGGGGGUUACAAUGGCUUGAAAUCUCAGGCGUUGACGCGUUCGUAUGAAUAAUUGAGUACAGGUCCUCAAAAUUCUUCAGUCCUCUUCGACGUCUUCAUUAUUCCUUGGCCAGCAUUACGUAUAGUAAUAAAACUCAUAAUAUACAGAACCCUCACACACACAUAAUGUAUAUAAAAUCUCCUGGGAGGGCAUGUGUAAGUCUUGGUGGCUAAACUGGCUGGAUCUUUCUGUAUUUGUUGCUUUUGAUUAAUGAAGAAUUCUAGUUUAUCUAUAAAAAAAGACUAACUGUAGAAGCUCUGGGCCUGAAAUGUUUUAAUAUACACUCCAACUUGUUGGACGAACGCGUUUCAGGAUGCCUCCCAUUCCAAUUUUGAUUCUUUUAUUUUUGUAAAAAACAAGAGGUUUUUUAUUGGGAUAAUAAUCACAGCUAUAUAUAUAUAUAUAUAUAUAUAUAUAUAUAUAUAUAUAUAUAUAUAUAUAUAUAUAUAUAUUCACACACACACGUUCUGAUGUUUUGUAUUUUGAAAUUAACCUCAAUCAUGAUCGAUGAAAGCAAGAUCAGUUUAAUUUUCCUUAGCAACUGCCGCGCGCAUCAGCUGGAAUAUUUGUGAUUGGGAUUUUAUCUCUGAUGUAUUGGAGAUUAUUAGAGAAUAAUAAAGAUUAUGUAUUUGAAUUUUAUUUAAUAAUUUAAGUAUUUAGAUUGAAUUAGUUUUUGAUAUGAUAUAAAAUUUCUAUUUAAGUUUUUAAAUUAAAUUUUACUUCAAAAGAAAAGAAAUAAAAAUGAGGAGGAGGAACUUAACUCAUCUGAACGAAGUCCCCCGCCAUGAUCAGUAGCCUUUGGCGGGUGUCAUUUGAUGUUGAAAGCGGCUUCAUUCAUGUGAAAUUCCUUUCACCAACUUUCAUGUGGUGGUAUUAAACAUUAGUAUUAUCUACGACUACUAGUAAUAGGCAACGUCGUGGAGAAAGAUUGACAAAGAAGUGAGCCCUUUUCACUGUUAAAUCAUCCAAUAUAAAGUAUUCCUUGUUGUGUUUAAGUUGAAAUUGGUGUGAUAUUGUUGGUUUUUCUUAGCUCUGUGACGCUAUGGCUUUGAUAAAUUUACCCUAAAUAUUGAUACCCCCUUCAUUGCCUUGCAGGGAUAUUAAUUAAACCAGAAAAAAAACACACCUUAUAUGCACCCACGAUCCAGUGACGAAGCUAUAAUUUUAAUAGAAGGUGACAAUAGUCGCGAAGGGAGAAAGAAUAAUCCAUCACUAUAGUUUUUUUUAAUGAUAAUAUUCCAUUAAUAUUUCCAGAGAUAUAUAGUAUUAUUUAAAAUAAAUAAGUAGCAACAAAACAACAUUGUGGUCAACAGUAUCAUUAAUAGAAAAUAUAUAUAUAUAUCAAACAUUCCCAAAACAAUUUUUAUAAAUUAUAAAAAUCAUUUUAAAGCUCCAUUACACAAUCGAUAGGUUUCUAAUUGACAAUUAGCGAUCUUUCUCAAUUGCAUAAAGUAUAAAUAUAAAAGUAAGAACGAAAUAUUCCAAAAAUCAUUGAAUACAUUAAUUUACCAGUUAUACACCAUUAAUUCUUGUUAAUUUUCAUUUGAUAACGAAAUAUAUUUAAAGAAAAUUUGGCUGAUUGAUAUUCUCAAGAUGCAUGAAACUAAGUCAUUGGUCACGAGUUCACCGAGUCAAUAUAUAAAUAAAAAUUAUUAUUAGUAUAAUUUUAAAAUUCAACUCGAGAUAAGGUUCAAAUCAUGAAUUGGAUGAAUCAUCCCAGCUGAUCCAAAUUUAAUUUUAAGAGUAAUCAAAACAAAAUUAUUUUAACUAAAAAUAAUUUUUAAAAAAAUUAAUAAUUUUUUUAUUGGUUCAAGCAUGGUCAAUCAUUUCUCUAUUUCUUCUUAAACUCUAUAUAUUAAUGGUAAAAUAUAAUUUUUUUAUAUUUUAUUUUGUUUUGUUUACAAUAUCUAAACAUGAUAUAAAAAUAAUUAUUUUAUUAUGUACAUUAUUAUCAAAUAUAUUUUUAUAUAUUUUUUUUAUCUUAUCUCUAUUGUUUUUAUAUUGUUUUCGUAUUUUAUGUCCUGUGCCAAACGCUUCCAUAAUAUACCACAUGCUUGCCAGAUAAAAAGCCCCAAGGCACCACUGCCGAACACCUGGGAUCAGGGCGGCGAUGGCUAGACUUCUUAUUUGUCUGUCAUAUAUUUCGUUGCCCCAGACUCGGAUAAUGUUAGUCCUUUUAAAAGAGCCAUAGAAAUGGGUUGUGCAUGGAUCCAUGUUAGUAGCGGUGAUUAUUUUUUGUUCGGUUUGGUUUUUAUUAAAAAAAAUAAUUAAAUCAAAACUGGUUCAAACCGACCAGUUUCGGUUCAGUUUUUUAGGACAAAAACCGGUUCAAACUGGUUUGGCUCGGUUUUUCUGAUUUGGCUCAGUUUUUCCGGUUUGGCUCAGUUCGGUUUUUUCGGUUUCGGGCUUAUAAAACCAAAACCGAACCGAUCGGCUUUUUCAAAAUUUUAAUCGGUUUUUUUUACGGUUCGGUUUUUUCAAUUAUUUUUUUUUAGUUUUCUCGAUUUAAUUGAUUUUUCAGGUUUUUUACUUAUCCCUGAAUAUUAGCACCAUAUACAUUCGAAUAAUUGAUUGAUAAAUACAUAGUCCCUUUUAAUCAUUGCAUUUUUUAUUUUCAGGCUCGUCGUUGUCUUUCUAGAUAAUUCUGUCAGGCUCCCAAAUGAGACGGUAAUCUAAUAUAUUUCCCAGAAACUGUUGUCACAGUACUCCAAUGACCAUACGAGCACAAUUUCUAUGUAGAGUUUUGUACGUCGUACAUGACAAUCUAGAAUAGUUGACUAGUCCAAGUUUGAUGACAAGUCAAGGUCCAAGGAUGAAGAUAACCUUUCUUCCAGUUAACUAUCAACACGUUCAAUAUAGACGCUUAACGACGACCAUUUCAAAAAACAUGUAUGGACUUCUUCAUGUGAACAAAAAAAUGGCAUGAUUUGGUAUCUAUUCAACAAACUAAUUAAUUCGCCCCGGAUAAUUAUAGCACAGAAAGGUUUUAGCUUGAGUGAUGUAAAUCCAAAAGGAUCGAAGGACCAAGUCAUGAAUCAGUGAUGAAUUUAGAUUUAACAACAAAAAAUCUUUAUAGAUGAUGAAAUUGGGUCUUAGUUUAUAGUAUAAUAUAUGCUAAGCUCAGUUAUGUGUUUCGUUGCCAGCCGGAUCAAAAUCCAUGUUGCUAUCGUUUCAACCUAUACUUAACCCUAACUCAAAUGUAAAAUAAUAAAUUUGUCAAAUCAUAAAAUAGCAAAAAAUCCAAGAAGUGAAAUGAAAAUAUAGCAACACAUUGAAUUGCUCCGUGUUAACUUGUGAAAUUGACAACUCAAGUAAUGAACACAAUCAUAGUGACUUAACCCGAUUAGCCAACCUUCCUCUUUUUUUUCCUACCCUAUCCUUUUCAUGGUUAGGCUUUGAUCGAAUCUCAAUUGACCUUAGGUUCGAUUAAAGAAUGAAGACAAAGUAUAAGAAAUAGAUAAAUGAUGAACUCAAAAAAUAUUAGCUUAAAAAAAGAAGGAAAAAAGCAAAAUCAAACGAAUCUCCUAAACUUUGAUUAAUCUUCUAAACUCGCAACUCAUGAAAUCUUAAGACCAAGUUCAAUAAAAAAACUCAAUUCCUAAUUAAUUUAAUGUUGGAAGAUGAAAUGGUAAAGACAAAUAAAAAAAUGUCAAGGUAAAAGAAAUUGCAAUAAAAAGAACGAGAAUAAAAUCAAUUAGAAAAAAAUUGGAGGAUGAAGUUAUUAAAAAACUUUAAUUCUAAAAUAUGUAAAAUAAAUAGCAAUAAAGGGAAUGAGUAUCAAUUUUAACAGAUAAAAAAAACAAAAAAGAAUGAAAUUGAAAAAAUAAAUAAAAAGUUGAAGGAUGAAAUUAAAAAAACACUAGCUUAAAAAGAGGGAGGGGGGAACCAAGCAAAUCAGGGCGCAUUCUCUAAACCUCGAUUAACCUUUCAAGUUUGCAACUUGUGGAAUCUUAAACCUUGGUUCCAAUCAGGAAAUUCAAUUCCUAAUCAAUUUAAUGUUGGAGAAUGAAAUUAUAAAAAAAAAAAUUGCCAAAGCAAAAGGAAUUUCAAUAAAAAGAAUAAGGAUUAAAUCAUAUAAGAAAAGUUUUUUGAAAGGGGGUGGAAUUGUAAGGAAAAGCUUUAAUUCUACAAAUUAUCUAAAACAAAACAAAUAGCAAUUAAGAAAAAGAGGACCAAAUCUGACAUAAAAAAUUAAAGAAAAAUGAAAUUUAACAGAAAAUAUAAUUAUAUAAACCAUCUAAAAAAAUAGUGAUAAAAAAACAAGGAUUAAGUCUUAAUGAAAAAUAAAUUGAAGGGUUACUUGAAAAAUCUAGAGUGACGUGUGAAAGUCGAGGUGAAAAGAAAAAAAAAAGAAAAAAAAAGUUUAUCGGUAUCAAAUUAGAGGUCAGAAUGCCACACAUUGUCGUGAGAGGAAGAGAUUGUCAAGACGAUUCCAACUACACUAAAGAAGUCCAUCAUUGAUUGUUAAACAUUAUUGCAUGUGUAAUUUGAAGGCGAUAAAGCAUUUGAUGCGUGUGCUAGCUAGCUUUCAAUUUUUAUUAUCAUUUUAUAUUUAUUAAAGGACUAAAUUGCCAUGUAAACAUAAUUAUAACAUAAAAACCAGGUUAGAAAAUGAAAUAACCCUGGAAAUCAAUUUAUUAGUUUUUGCUUUCAAAGGGUAUUUUUAUCAUGGUAUUAUGCUAACUAGAAGAAAAGAGAUGAGAAUGGCCUUUGAUGACGGUUUAUUAUUAUUUUUUGUUUUUUAAUGGUAAUUUAGAAUUGCAUUGUUAAAAAAACAAAAAAAGGAAAAAAAUCGAGUUGUUCCUAUUGAAUUUUGUAAUAACUAACUAUUAUGUCAAAAGAUCAAAUUAAAAAAAAAAUUACACAGUACAUAAUGAUGACAAAAAUGUUUUAGCCUUCCGUUUCGUUUUAGUUUUUUUUUAUUAUUAUUCCAUGAACAAUUGCAAACUAUUUCCCUCCCGGGCUUGAUAAAAUUAUGUAAAAUGACGUAGGUGUUAGCUCGGUAAUCGUCCACUUAGUUAAUUUCCAUGCCCAACAUGUUUAAUUGGAAUUAGUGAUUCGGUCACCGUCCACUUGGUUAAUUUCCAUGUCCAACACAGUGAUCAUUAGGUUCUCCGUUCCUUCAAUUCAUUGUCUGAUGUCUACUGAUUUUUUUUUAUUAUUAAUAUAAGUAUUCGGAUUAAUUUGCGUGUACUUCGAUUAAUCCCACGGAUCCUGAAAUUAACGACCAUGUAAGCUUCCAGUAGCCCUGAGAUUUAUGGGACUCGAACUAGUAUUUUUUCAGGAACAAACCUAGAACUUGAUUAGUUGAGCUACACCCCUCAGAUUAUCUACUGAAAUUUUUAAAUAAACAAGAAUACACUGUGAUUUUGCUGUGUCUUUAAUUUCAUUGAUCAUUAUCAUUAUCAUUUAUGAACGGGCCAAAUCCUUGGGAAGGGAAAACUGAUAAUAUGGUAUUGUUUGAAGAAAUAAUUUAUCUACAAAUGGGUCAAUUUUUAUUAUAAAAUACAUCCACAUAUAUAUAAUUUGAAUAAAGAGUCUUUUAUCCAACUCAAACAAAUAUUCUACCUGAUGCUGAAAUCGUUUUAAUAUUUUUAUGGAGUGAAUGAUUUAUUCCAUCUUAUAUAUGAACUUGUAGAACAAUUUAAGGGCUUUGACCGUAUAAAUACAAAUAAAAUUAAUUUUUAAAAAAAUCAAGGACCAGAAUAUAUACAAUUCUGUCAUCCACAUUGGUGGACCUAAUUAAACAAAAAUUCGUCCAACAUUUGGAAUGAAACCUUACAAGAAUAUUAUUCAAAUCCGAGGGCUGCUGCUGCUGUUCUCCCUUGUCUCUUCUAAGACCCACCGUUGUACAUAGACGAAUCAUAUGGAGUGCACAGAUUAAUUGAUUGAUUCCAGUUAUUUACCAUUAGGCAAAGCCAAGAGCUACGUGACUGCGAACAAGAUGGAGUAAUGCAGAAGAGUAAGAUUUGAGCUAUUUGGUAAUUUACGAGUGGUCAAGUCAUUUUCGUAAUCCUGGAAAAUAGAGGGUAAAUCCCACCUAUAUAUUACGAAUGGUCACAAUUAUUUUAUUUUCAUAAAUAGUAGCCUCAUUUAUUUGUUUUUUUAAUCACUAAAUCCAAUGAGAUUGAAUUCUAUGACAAGAGCAGCCUUCACCAUUCCUAAACCCCACCUCCAUCCACUGAACUUAAAACUUUCCAUUGAAAACCCUAAAUCUUAAUUACCUUCAGGGAUGUUGCUCGAGGAUCUGACAACAACCCUAGAUCACGAGCAAUCCAAAAUUACUAUCAUGAUUUUUUACCGUGUUUGAAAUUGCAGUAAUAGUUGUUUUAAAAUAAUAUUUUUAUUAUUUUUAAAAUUUAUUUUUAAUACUAGCAAAUCAAAAUAUUUAAAAAACAUUAAAAAAAUAAUUUAAAAAAAAUCAAAAUUCUAACGAACAACAUUUUAACAACAAUGCCAAACAAACUUUUCACCUCGCAAGGGAAUCGUCUUUUCGUGCGAGAGACAAUUAAAUUGGCAUGAUACGGACAUGGAAGCAUGCACAUUCCUAGUAUCAGUUAUCAGAACAUGAUCUACGAGGAUAUGCAAAUACGCUUGUAGAGUAAAUGACAAGGCAAUGUUUCUUUCUUUCAUGGACUGCCCGUCCCAAGCGCCAAUGACUUGGAGCCCCUCUCAGCUUCUCCCUCCCUCGUUCAGAUUAUGGACACCAUUGGAUUUGCUUGGUGAGGCACUAUACUUGCUCCUUCAUUUCCUCUAACUUAAAACUGGUGUCAAGACUCGACAUGUUCUUAAUUUCCCAUCGAAGAAAAAACUCUGCUGUUACAAGAAUGGUCUUCUAUCCAGACGUCCUAGCCAAGGGGACGACGUCUACCUUUCCUUGGUUGUAAACAAUACAAGAACGAUGGGUAAUUUGAAGAUCUUAGAUCAACCCUGUCAUGGGCUCCACGCCUUUCAUUUCAAGUGGCAUUCUAGAAGAUCAGAUAGAAAUUAACAUAUUUUGAAAUUAUAACACAGAGGUUGAAUUAUAGAACUUGGUAGCUUUUUAAUUUAUUUAUAAUAAUGUAAACUACAGUUCUGAUUCCGUUCAAUAUUGAUUUUUCUUUUAAACUUUGUCAUGCAUUUAUAUUGAACUUGUUUGAUUUCCCUCUUUAAACCAGAUUCAUUUUCACACUAUAUAUGCAUGCCCACGACGAGGAAUGAUAAUACACACACACACACACACACCCCUGUUGAUCUCGUUAUGACCUGUUUUCAACUAAAGAAUCUCCACUAGCAUAAUUUUUAUUUUUUACAAGUCAAAAGGAGAAAUAAAAUAUAGAUAAAAUUUAAGAGGGGUAAUUACAAAAAAAUAAAAAAUAAAAAAUACACCAAAAAGACAUCAUUGUAGGUUCUUUCAGUACCUUUCCCAAACAAAAUCAAUGAAUUUGUUACCAGAGGUAAUUCGGUUUUUUCGCUUGUGUCUAUUUUUUAUUAUUAUAUUGAUCGAGAAUAAAUUAAUAUUUUUAUAUUUUUUUAAUUAAUAAAAUAACAUAAUUACUUUUAAAACAAAAAAAAUAUUAAAUUGGCAUCCAAUAGCUUUUUUGUCUCUCAUUUUUUAAAUAGUUAAAUAACUAAAUUAUCCUUCAAAGCAAAAAUUACUAAAUUAGUGUUCAGGGUUUCUUUUUUGUAUUUUCAUCCUUUUUUUUGUUAUAAUCAAGUUGACUAAGAAACAAUUUAGUAAUUUGAUAAAUCUAAACAUUAUUUAAAAAAGUGGUUUGCGCGUGCAUUGCACGUGUCAACAUGUAAGAUGUGGCCUCGAUAUUCGGUUAGUGUGCGAGGGGGCUUUGAAGGCCAAACGGUGGUUUAUGGGGUAGCAUCCAAAAUCUAUUGGCGGCCAUUCCAUUCCUGGACGGCACGUGUGGCAAAUAGACCUUCGGUUUGGUGUCAGCGAUCUUUUUUCUUCUUUUUUCUCUUCUCUUUGAUUUCUGUGCCCGACCCUCUGAAUUUUCAAAGCAACCCUUCAAUUUGUUUCUAUCUUUAUAUUUGGUUUCUAUUCCUUUUAUUACUAUUUAUUUUAUUUAAAAUAAUUUAUAAAAUAUAUUUUUUUAAUUUCACCCCUCUUUAAUUUUUUUAUCUGUCAGAUUUGACUCUCAUUAUUCUGAUUACUAUUUUUUUUAUUUAAGAUAAUUUUUUUUCUUCUUACAAUUUUAUCCUCUAAUUUUUUCCUAUUAAAUUUUUUCCUUAUUUUUUUUCACUUUAGCUAAUUUUUUAAAAUUGAUAUUUUUCUCAAUUUCAUACUUCAACAUUGAAUUAGUUGAAAAUUGAGUUUUUUUUAUUGAGUCUAGGUCUAAGAUUUCAUGGGUUGCGAGUUUGGAAGAUCAACCCAAAUUUAGGAGAUUCACUCGGGUUUACUUAGUCCUCCCCUUUUUUUAAGUUCAUUUUUUUUCAGUUUCAUCAUUAAACAUUUAUUUAAUUGGAGAUUGGACUCUAUUAUUAUUUUUUAUUUGAUUUCUAUAGGAUUUUUUACUGAUUUUGAAAAUAAAUCGGGUUAUCUCAGGUGUUUUUAUUUGUCGUUCUUUGUUAAAUCUUGUUUUUUUAAAAAGAAAUUUUAUUUUUUAAUUAAAUUAAAGUAAUUGAUUAAACAUAGGCGUGAGAUGCUCACUUCAUGAUAUUUUGUUUGUUUUGUUUUUUGAAUCGUUUCUCUUACAACGUGUGCUGCGUCUUUUAGCGUCGCUGAGCAUCCUAUCACAAUGGUGUUAGAACCGUCUCUGUGAGUUUUUUUCAAGUAGUGAGGUGAUGUCGAAGGUAGAGCGACAUUGAAUAUCUAAUGAGCUUUUCCUUUUCUCCUUCCAAAUACAAUAUUGAUAAUUUAUUUUUUAUAGUUAAUUAUUAUUGAUUUUUUUUUUUUUUUUAUUGUCAAGACUUAUUAAAUUCAAUCAAAUCAAUGAUUGAGAUCUUAAUUUUUUUUUAAAAAAAAAUCAGAACCGCCUGAAUAUCUAUCUUUAUAUUAUGAAAAAAUUAACUCGAUUCAUGACGCGGCGCGAGUCACCAAAAUAUUGACCAUCAUAUAGUGUAAACAAAAUAUUCAUGGCAGCAAUUCCUAAAUUAAAAAACCCUGGCAACUGAUUAAAAAAAGAAAAAUUGACCCGCGCUGCUUCUGUCGCCGUCAUGACGGCGCCAUCUGGCAAUCCAAAGUCCAAACAAGACCAUGGCUCAAAACGUUCAAUAAAGAAGCACACACCUAACGGUUGGUAUUAUAAUUAAAUUAAAACCCGAGGUUUAUUCUUAAUCCGCAUUUGAUUAUCUCUCUCUCUCGAUAUGUUUUCUUUUUUCUUUCAGACUCGAUAGAUAAUUAAAUUAAUUGGAAGACCACAUUUCCGAUUCUCUUUCUUAGUUAUUUUCUUCCUAUGUUAUCUUACCUACAUUAUCUCAUGAUGUCUUCUUCCCUGUCUCCUAGGUUUAGGCCCUGAGCUAAAAUCUCAAGUGUUUUUUUAGUCUAAUAAUAAAGUGUUUUUGAAUUAAUUUAUACAUCAAUUAAUAUUAAUUUUUAUUUUUUUUUAAUUUCAAAGAUACGCACCUGCAUAACUUGGUAUAUUUAAAUAAUUUAUUUUGAAUCUAAAAAAAAACCAAUCUCAUUAACCAUUAAUGAACUCUUAAAUGUAAAAUUAGGAAUAAUGAUCUAAAAAGAAAAUGCUUGCCCCUCAAAGCAAGUAUCAAAAUCAUCUCUUAUGAAGUUUAUAAACGAAUGAAAGUUUAAAUUGUUUUUUGAAGUGUUUUUUUAUAUAAAAAUAUAUAAAAAUAAUAUUUUUUUAUUUUUUAAAAAUUAUUUUUGAUAUCAAUGCAUCAAAACAAUUUAAAAUAUAUAAAAAAAUUAAUUUUUUUUUAAAUUUAAAUUUUUACAAAACAUGAAACACAGUUUAAAUGCCAUAUUCACGGAGGAAGCACCGUUCCCGUCAUUCACCGUCAAUUCUAGUAACAGUUAUUAAUCAAUCAAUCUUACAGAUCUCAUGCAAGGCUUCCCUUCUAGAAUUACUCGCGUCACCGUAAUAAAAUUACCUUCCAAUAAAUAAUAAUAAUAAUAAUAAUAAUGAAAAAAGUCUUCAAAGUCUCGAAGCCAUCAGUCCUCGCAUAUACGGUGCUAAAUUUCCAUGGAAAAAGCAUUUUGACAAAUUCGUACAUCUAGAAGGAGCGUGUUUUCACAAUUAAUAUAAUAUUUCAUAACAAGAAGACUUGCUUUUCUUUUUGGGGGUUAAACAAGGAUAUUUCCGGAUUAAUUUUCAUUUAUCUAUAUAAUAAAAAAACAGAAUGGCGAGUGCUCCUAAAACAGGGAAGUAUUUUUUUAUAUAAACCAUCAUGUAAAGAAUAUUUCAACAAUAAAGAUAUUUUUAGGUUAGUUUUCAGCUAUCAAGAUUCAAGACUAAAUCUUUUUCGAUGAAAUUCUAAAUAAAGUAUUUCUGUUUUAAUGGACUCAAGAAGAUAUUUUCUUCAAACUUUGAAUGUCAAAGAAAAAAACCCAAAUUUCUUUAUCAUUUAACUAAAACCUUAAAAAAAUUAUAAAAAAUAAUCUUAAAUUCGUUUGAAAAUGACUUUAAAAAUAAGUUUAGUAUAAAAUUAAUACUUUUAAGAGUCUUGAAUAUUAAUAUAUCAUCAUAAAAAAACACAAAAUAAAUAAAUAAAUAAAACUAAUGCACUUCCAAUUCCACUUUUCCAAAAGCAAUAAAUGAAAAGGUAACUAUUUUCAAAGCAGCAGGGUAGCUAUUGAACCAAAGAGAAAAUAAUAAAUGAAAGAAAAUGAAGAACCAAAGAGAAAAGGUAACUAUUUUCUUUUUUUCGAAGAAAAAAGGUAACAGAGAGUUAAAUGAAAAGAGAAAAAACGAAAGGUAAAAAAACAAAAAAGAGGGAUCUAAUUGAACCAAAGUCUACGUUCAUAGCGUACAAGAUGCGCCAUCUCUCUUCUUCGUUUUCCUGCUGCUUUCCUUCUCCAAGAAAAAAUAAAAGAGAAAAUCCAAUGAAGGAAUAUCUUAAUUUAAUCAAAAAUACCAAUUCAAUGUAAGACUGCCAUCAUACACGUUGACAUUUUUCUCCACUAUCUAUUUAUAAGGAGAAUGGUUUGUUUGAGGACACAAUCCUGUUAACACCUUUGUGUCCUUCAGAGUAAACCACCCUUGUACUCUCUUGCCUUUGUGUUCUUGUUCAAAGGUAGAGAUUACAUAUAAUAAUUCACAUGAUCAUAGCUUCCCUUGUACUCUCUGCUUUUCUCUAAUCCCCUGUCAAUUUUCCUCGAAGUUCUUUGCUUUUCCCUUCUUUUCUUGUUCAAUUUUGAUGCUUGUGUUUUUGGGUUCUUGAAUUCUUAGCUUUUAGGGUUCAAUCACAUCUGGGGUUGGAUAUUACUGUGAAUUCUGCUUCUGGGUAUUCCUGUUUUCAUUCAAAGGAGCUGCAUUUUUAGCAUUCUUAAGUAUAAAGCCAAAAGGUUCUGGUGUUUGUUAGAGAAAGAGAGACAUGGCUGGUGGUGGUAAAAGGAAGAGGUUGAGUCUGAGCAAACUGUACUCGUUUGCAUGUGGAAAGACAUCUUUAAAGGGUGAUCAGUCCCAGAUGGGGGCACCUGGGUUUUCCAGGGUAGUUCACUGCAAUGAACCAGACUGUUUUGAGGCCAAGAUUAGAAGAUAUAGUGGCAACUAUGUUAGUACUACAAAGUACAAUGUUGCUACUUUCUUGCCCAAAUCAUUGUUUGAGCAGUUCAGAAGAGUGGCUAACUUCUAUUUCUUGGUUGUGGGUAUCUUGGCUUUCACCCCUCUUGCACCUUACACAGCUGUCAGUGCUAUUUUCCCCCUUAUUGUUGUUGUUGGAGCUACCAUGGUUAAAGAAGGUAUUGAAGAUUGGAAGAGAGCUCAGCAGGUAUGGUUUUAAUUUUUUAUUUGUUUGCUCAGAUUGGAUAUGUUUAUUGAUUAUGGUUUGAUGUGUUUGUAAUGUCUUCUUGACUUCUCUUAAAGUGAAGUUUCAAAUUACUCUCUACUGAUUGAAUGGUAUUCAUAUGAUUUGAUGAUGAAAUUUUGGGAUUAUUUUUUUAUUUUUUUUUGAUUUUUUUCAUGUUAUUUGCUUGGACAUAUCUGGGAAAUAUUUUGCAUAGAAGUUUAGUAAGGCUUUAGAUGACACCGAUAAACAAGAUGAAAGAUCAGAACUUUAACUCAUUUUUACUGAUUCAUGCAUCUUAUCCUAGACUUUGUGUGACUUAUAAGAAAUAUUGAAACAUCAGAUACAGGAUGAGCCUUCUGCUCUCUCCUAGGGUAAUUUGUGCUACACUAGUUAGCAUCGAAACUCCUGUUCCCAAGAAACAGGACUAUACAAAUUGCAGUCCAGUUGAUAUUGGAUAUGUUUUACCUGCAACUUCUAAAAUGCUUCCGUGUUCUCGUGCAUGCUAUCAGAGAUGUCUGAGUGGCAAAUGAUAAGUAUGCUUGAUCAUCUAUCCUCUAUUGAAAUUUCUCAUAUCUGAUUUGUACUCUUUUCUUUCGGAAUGGAUUCUCAGGAUAUCGAGAUGAACAAUAGAAAAACUAGAGUGCACCAGGGUGAUGGAACUUUCAAAUCUACUGGAUGGAAGAAUCUGAGGGUGGGAGACAUAGUGAAGGUGAAGAAGGAUGAAUACUUUCCAGCAGACCUCCUCUUGCUCUCAUCAACUUUUGAAGAUGGAAUCUGCUAUGUUGAGACCAUGAAUCUAGAUGGAGAAACAAAUUUGAAACUCAAACAGGCAUUGGAGGCAACAGCAUUCAUGCACGAGGACUCUUACUAUAGGGAUUUCAAGGCUCUUAUCAAAUGUGAAGACCCAAAUACAAAUUUGUACUCCUUCGUUGGCACUCUGGACUUUGAACAGAACCUGUAUCCCCUCUCUCCUCAACGGCUUCUCCUCAGAGACUCCAAACUCAGAAAUACAGAGUAUAUAUAUGGGGCAGUUAUCUUCACUGGACAUGACACAAAGGUUAUGCAAAAUUCUACAGCUCCCCCUUCAAAGAGAAGCAAAUUUGAGAAGCAGAUGGAUAAAAUUGUUUACUUCUUAUUCUUUGUUCUAUUUAUGAUGGCAUUUAUUGGAUCUCUUGUUUUCGGAGUUGCAACUGACAAUGACUUGGAUGGAGGGAGGAUGAAAAGGUGGUAUCUCAAACCAGAUGAGUCUACUGUUUACUUUGACCCUAAAAGAGUGGUCUUAGCAUCAAUUUGUCACUUUCUGACUGCUCUCAUGUUGUACAAUUACUUCAUCCCAAUCUCCCUGUACGUGUCAAUUGAAGUCGUCAAAGUUUUUCAGAGCAGUUUCAUCAACAACGAUAUCAAUUUGUACUAUGAGCCAUCUGACAGGCCAGCACAUUCUCGCACCUCAAAUUUGAAUGAGGAACUUGGGCAAGUGGACACGAUACUUUCUGACAAGACUGGAACAUUGACCUGCAAUUCCAUGGAGUUCAUCAAGUGUUCUGUCGCGGGGACUGCUUAUGGCCAUGGGGUUACAGAGGCUGAGCGGGGAAUGGGUGUGAGAGAAGGUGAAAGUGUGAAUGGUUGGGACCAGAGCAAGGAUUCUUCCACUACAAAACCGCACAUUAAAGGUUUCAAUUUUAAAGAUGAAAGGAUUAUGGAUGGGAACUGGGUCCAUGAACCCCAAGCUAACAUCAUUGAAAAUUUUUUCCUCUUGUUGGCAAUCUGUCACACUGCCAUACCUGAUGUGGAUGAAGAAACGGGGAAGAUUUCAUACGAAGCUGAAUCACCAGAUGAAGCAGCAUUUGUGAUUGCUGCAAGAGAAAUUGGUUUUGAAUUCUACAAAAGGACUCAAACAAGCGUUGCAGUGCGUGAGUACAAUCCAAAGACUGGGAAGAAAGUUGAAAGGGUGUAUACAGUUCUGAAUGUUUUGGAGUUUAACAGUGCAAGAAAGCGGAUGUCUGUGAUAGUAAGAAAUGAGGAGGGGAAACUGCUAUUACUUUGUAAAGGUGCUGACAGGUUUGUGAUCAACUACCUUGAAACCCUUGAAAUUGGAAAAUUCCUUGUCUUUUAACCUAUUGCUUAUUAAUUAAAUUUAACCUGUAUCAUAUGCAGUGUCAUGUUUGAAAGGCUUGCUAAGAGUGGAAGGGGGUUUGAAGAGGAGACCAAGAAUCAUGUGAAUGACUAUGCUGAUUCUGGCCUGAGGACCCUAAUACUUGCCUAUCGUGAACUUGCUGAAGAAGAAUACAAAAUUUUUAACCAGAAAUUCACCGAGGCUAAGAAUUCAGUUAGUGCAGAUCGGGAAACAUUGAUUGAUGACAUGGCAGAGAAGAUCGAGAGGAAUCUAGUUCUUCUUGGCGCAACUGCUGUUGAGGAUAAACUCCAAGAAGGGGUGAGUAAGAAAACCUAAAAUGUUCUAAAAUAAACCGGCCUUUUUAGAGAUCUUGAAUUUUUUGUUCUUAUACUGUGUACCCUUUAGGUUCCUGCCUGCAUAGACAAACUUGCUCAAGCUGGAAUUAAGAUGUGGGUUUUGACUGGAGACAAAAUGGAGACUGCCAUAAACAUUGGGUAUGUUGUUUUUUGAAAAAGAGUGUUUGUAUUGACACUUUUAAGAUGAGUGGACAUUUCAUAUUAUACGUGGAGGCAUCUGACUUAAAAUUUUGAAUAUGCAGCUUCUCCUGUUGUUUGCUUAGACAAGGAAUGAAGCAGAUCAUAAUCAAUUUGGAGAAUCCAGAGAUCCUGUCAUUGGAAAAAACAGGAAACAAGGAUGCCAUUACUAAGGUAAAGACUGCUUUAAUUCAUCAAAGAUUUCAGUCCACUUCAGGUUAUUUACCCGUGAUUUAUUUUCCUUUUCUCCUGGUGUCAUCUCGGUUGGGAGAAAGGGUGUUGAAGUCAAAGAUGCACCUUAAUUGUUAUGAAUCUAUAUGUGAUAUUGAUGGUAUAUACAUUCAUUUUCCAGGCAUCAAGGGAAAGUGUUCUUCGUCAAAUAACUGAUGGAACGGCCCUGCUUACUGGACCAAGUGGAACUGCUGAGACAUUUGCAUUGAUAAUUGAUGGAAAAUCACUCGCUUACGCAUUAGAGGAUGACAUGAAACAUUUGUUUCUAGAUCUUGCUAUGAGUUGUGCAUCUGUCAUUUGUUGCCGUUCAUCACCAAAACAGAAAGCACUGGUGGGUUAUUAUUCUUAGUUUUUCACUGCUGUAGGUGCAUGUGUUGUUAGAUAGUAAAGACUUUCUUCUGUACACUUCUCUUGAAAGAAUAAUUGUUUUAAAUGGUAAAAUACAGGUUACAAGACUAGUCAAAUCUGGAACCAGGAAAACAACAUUAGCAAUUGGUGAUGGUGCCAAUGACGUGGGUAUGCUUCAAGAAGCAGAUAUUGGAGUCGGAAUCAGUGGUGUUGAAGGAAUGCAGGUCUUUUCCACAGAACAGCUUACAUCUCAAUUAAUUGUUGAAAAUAUUUCUCUACUUGAUUGUAAUUCUCACCACCUGUUAACCCUAUUUUAUGCUUGUUUUCAACUCAGGCUGCCAUGGCAAGUGAUGUUGCAAUUGCUCAGUUUCGGUAUUUGGAGCGUUUACUACUUGUACAUGGGCAUUGGUGUUACAGGAGGCUCUCAUCUAUGGUAAGGUCAUUCAUAUGUUUGGAUUUGGACAUGGCUUAAUAUUUCAGUAUGGGCAUUAAAUUAACGUCAAUGAUUAUUGAUGAAUGUGAAAUGUCAUCAUGAGUUUUCACCUUUUCAUGAUUAUACUGAUAUAUAUAUAUAUUUUCAUAUGCAGAUAUGCUAUUUCUUCUACAAGAACAUUGCCUUUGGUUUCUCCAUUUGGCUAUAUGAGGCUUAUACAUCAUUUUCUGCACAGUCUGUAUACGGUGAUUGGUUUUUGUCAUUUUAUAAUGUCUUCUUCACGGCUCUUCCAGUUGCCGCUUUGGGUAUCUUUGAACAAGAUGUAUCUGCUGCAAGCUGUCUCAAGGUAUCUCACUCACUCACUUAGCAGACUCAAUUAUGGUCAUUAGAUGGUUAGUAAAGCAAAGUAAACAUCUUGGCCAAAUUUUGAUCAUUUUUUGACUUAUUUCAUAUUUCAGUAUCCUCUACUAUACCAAGAAGGCGUGAAAAAUCUCCUCUUUGGGUGGCGCCGAGUACUUCAUUGGCUGGGUAACGGGUUCUAUACUGCACUAGUCGUUUUCUUCUUCUGCUCAACUGCACUGCAGCACCAAGCCUUCAACCGUGAUGGAAAAACUGUUGGGAUGGAUGUUUUAGGAGGAACCAUGUAUACUUGCAUCGUGUGGGCUGUGAACUUGCAGAUGGCAUUGACUGUUUGUUACUUCACCAAAAUACAGCGUGGCCUAAUUAUAUAUUGUCUUUGUAUGUUGUACAUUUUCUUCGUGGCAUUUGGGUCCCUGUCUCCGUCAAUGUCUGCAAUUGGCUACAAACUCUUUACAGAAGCCCUUGCCCCGGCUGCUUCUUACUGGUUUACAAUCAUAUUUGUGAUAAUCGCAGCACUGUUGCCCUUCUAUGCAUAUUCAGCAAUUGAAACAAGGUUCUUUCCCAUGUACCACCAGAUGAUACAAAGGUUAGAGAGUGGGAAACAUGAAGAUGAUCCUGAGUAUUGUGAUAUGAUGCGACAAAAGUUAUUGCAGCCACCAACAUCAGUAGGUUUUUCAGCACGGUUGGCAGCACGAGCUAAUAAGUUAAGGCGUAAGAAUAAGAAUCAGCCACAAUAAUAGCUGAUUGUUCCUGGAGGGCAUCUGUCAACAUUUCUGGGUUGUGGUUAUCUGCUCAGAAGCUGAACUCUGUCCCAGCUGUAUACGACUUAAUGAGGCUUCUACUUUACCAGAAGGUAUGGCCCUGCAAGUUAAGAGUUUUUGGUGAUUUUUUAUGGAAGCAUCGUUCAGCUGUACCAUAAGUGGAACAGGAGACUUAUGCCAAAAGGAAUUUAAAUUUUGUUUGUUGUAAAAGAAAUGUAAUUUUUAUACCAACUUGUAUUAUUAUUACAAUGUAUUUAGGACACCAUUGAAUUGGUCGUAGAUUUGGAUUGUAUUUGUUGUUUACAAGAAUAAACUCUUCUUUUUCUUAUUGUAACUUGUAGUUCUAUUGAGUUUAUUAUUUUUUAUUACUUCUUAAUAAACUUGGAUUCUUGUUUACUAUUGAUUAUGGAGUAGAGGAAUUUUCGUUUUCUUGUCUUUAAUUCCCUAUGCUUGAUGAAUUUGUUGAAUCUCCUGAAGCACACAACGGAUAUCUAGCUUGUAACUGCAGUUAAAUGUUAAAACAGCAGGCGGCCAAACGCCCUCUCAUUCUUAGCUGAACAUUCAUUGAUUGGAACUUGAAAUUCUCGGCUAUAAUGUUCUUUCUCUUUUCCUUUUUGGUAAUCUUGGCCAUAACGUUGUUUCCUUGGCAGAAUAAAUGUCAAUAUAAUUGUUUGUUCUUUACCUGGGAAACACCAGAGAGGGAACUGAUAAGUGAACUUCCUUAUUGCCCUGGUUUGAUUUCUAAAUGAGUUAGUUGCACAAAAGCUUUAGCCCUAAUCUCAGUGGUUUCAGGUUGAAUUUUAAAUGAGUCAAUUUGAUCUAUAAUUGUGUUGCCCUUUACUGCAAGUUCCCAUUCCAUCUCUCACCCACAGUUAGCAUCCGUAUCUGAGUUUGCUCUUGCCAAGCCAGAUUAAUCCAAUUCUGCAGAAUUCUUUGUAAGGAUCACAGAACAGAAUAUUGAUUUACGUACGACCAUAAUUUGCAGCACACAUUUUGUUUUGUUACUGCAAAAAUAUACUGAGCCAGGAUUAAGUGAAUGGUUAAUCCAUUAGUUGAUGCAUAGAAAUGGCUGUAUCUGGAUGGAUCUGUAGAUGAUAUCGCCUCAAUUAUGAUAGGGAAAAUAGAGUUACUCAUACAAUGAGUUCUUCACAUAAAUGCAACUGGCCAUCAUCAGUAAUUGCAAGAAACUGAAGUUCAUGCAAAAACAUCUUACAUUGCCAUAACCAUGAUCUUAUUCUUAGCAAUCCAAUUACACGGAUUAACAACUACCCUUUUUCCAUUGAAUCAUUGCAUCCAGUUUUCAUGCAUUCAGAGGCCAAAUUGCUUUCUCAAAUGCAGACCGUUGGCCUUGAAUGAUAUGGCAGCCGGUUUCCUAACUUCCAUAGAUUGGUGAUGCCACCAGUAAUGUCAUGUAGCAGAAAAAUUAGUAAUGAAAAUCUUGGACUGGUAGAUAAAAUGUCGUUUUCAUGUUAUUUAUUUAUGUCGACAAUUCCAACCACUACAAUAAAUAUAACAUUAUGCAAUCUACAAGUUGUGUUAACAUGUUUCAAGUGGGAUUCAGGUCUCUCCUCCUUCCAUCUUGUUUACAGGUAUCCCAUGACCAGAUCUUAAAAGAAUUACAUCUACACACAAGAAAUUACGAGAAAGAUGAUAGAAAAAAAUAAGUGAAAGGAAAAGGUCAUCGGAUCAUGCCAAACCAUCAAUGAUAUUGCAGAUCGCCAGAUCCCCAUCAGAGAACAAAAUGCUAAUGACAUAUUAAUGGAUAUUGCAGAUCCCCGCGACGUCCAUGUCCAUGUAUUAACAAGACCAUACCCAUCAUCGAUCAGGCUCUAUGGAACUUUGAUGCCAAGAAAAUCAGCAGCAGAUUUUGCCAUGACGUUUGCAAACUCAUUAAAACUCAAAACACCAUCUCCAUUGGUGUCAGCCUCUCUCAUCAUAUCUGAUAGCUCACGAUACGUCAAAGGGUGUCCCAUUUUAGCCAUUGAUCCUGCAAGCUCAGCAGCAGUAAUGAAUCCAUUGCCAUCCCUGUCAAAUGAUCGAAAAACCUCCAACAACUGCUCCUGGUUGAUCAAUACUUCUUCAUUCAUAUCAGGCAAUAUAGCACUGACCAGCUCAUCAAACUCAACAUAACCAUUUCCAUUAGCAUCCAUGUUUGAUAACAGAACAUGAAGUUGAUCACCUGUAGGUUUGAGGCCAAGAGAACGUAGAAGCGCAGCGAGCUCCAGCUGCGUGAGGCUGCCAUCGGAAUCCAUGUCGAAGCGAAUGAAGAUGUCCUUGAGCUGCUUGAGCUGAUCGGUCUGAAGGGUUGCCAUCAUGUCUGGAUGGAAAUGGAGGAGGUGAAAGGAAAGGAAAUUAAAGGAAAGGAAUGGUUUUUUUUCUUUUUUUUUGUAUCUGUAUUUUGGCUGGUUAAGGAUGCGGGGCUAAUUGAGUGUUGUUCUUUUCAACUGGAAUGGUUCAACCAAAACCGCGUUAUAUCAUUGCCGUGUUAUGUGGGGGGUAAAAACGAGCAAAGGAAUUACGCAGUCAAGUUUCUGAAAUAUUCUCUGUGAACGUUGGGGCAUGUGGGUUCGCGGUGGCGUUGCCUUAUUUUUUUCAAAACUCCAUGUUUGCUAUUUUUGUGCUCUAUUUUGAUCUUUCUCAGGACAUAGUUGUCUUAGAAAGAAUUAUUACAAGAAAGUAUCUGGAACAGAAUAAUGGUACUUUUUGUACAUUCAUCUAAAAACCUUGACACCGGCUUUGAAGGGCGUUGAGUUCUCUUUUCAUACUCUAUUCAUUAUUAUAAAAUUAAUCGAGAAUAAAUAAAUAUUUUUUUAAUUUAGAUUGCACAAUAAAAAAAACUAUGAUAUAGCAAAAUAAAAAGAAUAUGGCAUGAAAGAAUAUUUCAAAAUAAUUUUUUUUAUUAUAAUUUAAACUUAUAGAAAAUUUUUAUUUGAUCAAAUAUAAAAAAUAAUGAACAAUUAAAAUGUAUAGUAAAAUAAUAAAAAUAUUCUUAAAAUAAAAUAGAAAUUGAAUGAUUUUUGAAGGUUUAGUAUCGAUAGUAAAAUAUUUUAAUUAAUUUAAUACAUUUAUGUGAAUAAAAUUAGAAUGAAUCAUCAUUAAUUGUGAAUGUUUUUAAUUUAAUAUGUAUCUUAUAGUAUUUAACAUAUAUGUUUAUUUUAUGUUUACGUUUAAAUAUAUCAUAUUAAUACGUUUGAUUUUGAUCCAUAAAAAAUACACUUAAUCAUAGAAAAUAUUAAAGGGCUUAAUUUUAAUUAGUGGGUCUAUAGAAAAAAUCACAAAACAACUAUUAAUUAUUGAAAUAAAUAAAUUUUAAUAAAAUAUUAAAUAAUGGGAAAAAAACAAAUUAAAAAAAAAAAGGAAAGUGGGGUCAGGGUGUGACAACAGGGCUCGCGUGCUUCGUCGGCUGGAUGUGCAUGGCCUCGGCGUUAAAAAAAUCAAGAAUAGAGGUGAACAGCGUGUCAUCAGCAACAGGUGGAACUUUUGAUGACUGUUUCGUCGAAAAAUCGGCAGCCGCUAGUUUUGACCUCAAAAGUCAAAACCCAAUUUCUAUACUAUUUUUACCUUUAAAUCAUCCCAUCAAUAUUUAAAAACUAUUUUUAAACCUCAAAAUAUAUUUUUAAUCAACUCUAAGAACUCAAAAAUUAUGAUUCUCUCCUCCCUUCUCUCUCAUUGAUUCUCCCCUCAUUCUACAUACACGGGCCUCAUGUUAACACUAAUAAAUUUUGGGGACCAUUCUAUAUAAACCUUGAGCACUGAGGACCAGAAUGAAUUCACAUUUGUAAGAAAUUACUUUAAUUUUAAUUUAAUUUAAUUUUUGUAUAAGGAUGUUGUUUUUUUAGCACCAUAGCUAGCCUAUUCAUAGCUGCAGUGCAACCCUUCAUUAUCUUUUAGUUAAUUAUUUUAAUUUAAUUAAUAAUAAUGUAAUUUAAUUUAGUCAAUAAAUAAUAUUUACAGAGGAGGCAAAAAGAAAGAUAAUUUCUUGUGAAAGCAUUGGCAAGUUUGGAGGGCUGAUAAAACUCCAAUGAAGAGAGAUUUAAAUACUGUCAGGGGAUUUGUCUAGAAAUUAUUUUUAUUUAAAAAUAUAUUAAAAUAAUAUUUUUUUAAUUUAUUUUUAACAUCAGAUUAUCAAAACAAUCUAAAAUUAUUUUGAAAUUUAAAAAACUCAAAAACAUUUAAAAAUGAAUAGUAACUUGGAUGACACGGGAAGGUUAGUUUUUGAAUGGAUUGGCCUUGGGAGCAUGAAGGUUUGAAAGUUAUCGCUUCUGUUGAAUGUUCAAAUUGAGGAGAGAAUUCAGUGGUUGACUAGUGAAAACCAUUCAGGGUGUGAAAUCAAAAUUGAGUUUGCUAAUAAAACCAAUAAUUAAUCAAACCCAUCUGAAAAGAUUCUCAUCCUCCCCCAGAAUCCACAAUGCUAAUCGUUGAAAAUUAUCGCAUUACACAUUAAACAAUGAAUGCAGCGUUGAACAUUCUUAGAAAAUCACCAUAUUCGUCCUCCCAGACCAGUAUACACAGGAGGGGAGUGAAAUUAUAUCGUUGGAUCUAUCUAAAUUCUUUUCAUUGUUUUAUUUAAACCCAGUAAACGUAAGAUAGGUGUCAUCAUUGUACAGAUGCCUGCUCUCUUGACUCCCUCUGGGAUUGAUUGGCAUGUUAAAAGCAAAAUAUGCUAUUGGUGAGAGCACCAUAUGGAAUUUUGAUUAUGGAUAUGUUCAUAAAUUGGCAAUAAUAAUGGUGUGUUUUCAUUCUUCCAAAACUCUAGCUCCUCCUGACGCUUCAAAACAUGGGAUAGAAGCCAUUGUCACGAGCUGAGAUCAAUCAGCCCAGAUUUCGAGUCUUUCAGUGGCUUUCUUUAUUUAACACUUCAUUUGAUCCCGAUCACUGCUUGUGACACACACUAUAACUAGUCACAUCGGCACCACCCUGUACCGGUGCAAUCAUCAUUUGCUACAGAUGUAUAACUGGAUAUAUUCACACCAUUCAUUCUUCAUUACUUUGUUAUCCACGAGAAAAAGAAUGUAAACUGUUUGGCAUGCAACCAGGAAUACAAGAGAAAAUGGUAAGAGUCAACUGAGAGUGACACGACUCUUACAUGCUUCAAGAUGAAUGAACAAAAUUGAAUCGAGAUUUUAUUAACACAAAAAAUACUGUUCAGAACAAAAAUUUGCAGGCGCUAAUUACAAGAAGAAAGAAUUACAGCACCUGUGACAUGGGAAAAUUAUAAUAACCUAGCUACCAGUAUCAAGGGCUUGAAAUCCAAUCCCUACAGGAGACAGUUCAUUUCAGAGACCAUCCUGUACAUCGUGAGCUUGUAUAUGUUCCAUCUCAAAAUUCAUGAAUCCUACUGUUCAUAGAUGAAUUUAUCUCUAACACUAUUUACCAUGUGCUCUUUAAUUAUCCAGGCUAUAACAAUCUAUACUGUAAUUUUGACUACCAAAUGCCAUCCUUCGAAACAGUCUAAUUUCUUCAGAUUGUUGUGCAGAGUUGAAUAGCUCACUUUCUCCCACUCUCAUUCCGUUGGUUAGAUCUGCUAUCGCUAAAGUAUCAAAAGCUCUAACAACCUGAGAAGCAUAGGCAGGCUUAGAGAAAUGCACCUAACAUCUCCAAAUCUGGACUUUUAAUGGAGAAGCAAGAAUUUUCAGCUAGUUCAGUGAUCAAAUUGCAAUUACCUGUCCCAUCCGUGGCCUCUUAGAAGCUGAAUGCCGCACACAGGCCGCAGCAGCCUCAAUCAUCCGGAACAUUUCGCUUUCAAUGUAGUUCUUUUCAAGCCUUGGAUCUGCCAAACUUUCAAGUUCCUCAUUUUCUAGUGCAUGAUUUAGCAAAGGUCGAGCCUGGAAGAAAGGUAAGAAAAGUUUCAGCAUGAAAUUGUGGAAAAUCAAAUACCAGUUCAACACUUCUAUUUCUUUCAACAUGUGCAUUUUUUAGUUUUCUUUCUAUACAUUCCAAAAAAAAAUUACUGGAAAGAGAACAAAAGAAAACUACAAACAGCAGGAUUAUGUAUUCUCCACCACAAGGUACAGAGAAGAGGAAACAACAUCAAGACAUAACAUUGUUUCACCUCUGUACAUUUGUUUCAUUGGUUACACACUUUUUUUUUUAUUCUUGCACUGAGGAAUAUCAUAAUUAUGCAUUGAAUUUAAAUCAAGGUUCAGUAAGAUUAGUCCUAGAUCUGGGAAGGCUUUUAAUUUUCCAUGUACUGAGUUAUUUUCUUCAGUAUAAAAUCUAUAUAUGAUUAGAGGCCACAGGCCACGAAAUCAAUGGAGCUCCAGAAAACUCAACAGAACCCCGAUCCCCCACCCUGCAUACACCAAGGAAUAACAUCCACUCAAUAAGCAAAUCUUCCAAACAACCUAUUUCUAAAAUAAGCACACCUGUUCCUGAAUCAAACCACUAUGGGAAUAUAUAAGAAGUUCAGAACAGGUCUUGUAGCCUUUUUACCGAUUCUAUCCACAAUUCAAAUGUGAGAAACUAGUAGUGUUUCGAGCAGAAGGUAACCAUGUUUCUAUUACCCUUGUAACUAAUUUUCUAACAAAUGUAGCAACUUCAGAAACAUCUUCUCAUAUCAAAACUAAGCAGUGAGAAGAAAAACAUAUAACAGAAAGCAUAAAAAAUUACACGACUCAAACUAAGCUGUAUCGAUAUAACCAGAAACUUCAGGAUAAAUGAUCUAAUUGAAUUUAUCAUUUAUGCAUGCUGAAAUAGAAGGCAAAUCUUUAGAAUAGAUCUGCUCAGCAGACGAGGGUUGCUAAGAAUAAGGUCCACAAAGAGUAAUUGAUCCAUCAAUAAAACUGUCAUUCAAAUCCUUAUUACUAGCAACUAGGUUAUUGGAUCUGGAUGUAUCUUAAUGCAUGCUCCAGUUAACAAUCAACAAUUCGUGAAAAUUGAAUGAGUCUAUCGUCCAGAAGCAGAAUGCUAGCCAGGGUGCAUAAACUACUUACCCAUUCAACAAGACUCUCCUCUCCCAUGGGCUGGGAUGCAUCCACAGGCUUCCGUCCAGUGAUUAGCUCCAAAAGCACAACUCCAUAUGAGAAUACAUCAGAUUUCUCUGUUAAUUUGCCGCUUGAUGCAUAUUCAGGGGCCAUGUAUCUGAGUGAUCAAUUAAACAUUAGAUGCACAUAGACAUGGCUGAUAUAUGUUCAUUGCACAGGAAAAGAAAACCAAAUACAGCUGUACUUUGAAAAUAGUAUUCCCAUCAACUCCCGACUGCCCAAAAGGGCUGAAACCCUCCCUGCUCACACAAAAAAGGGCAGAGAGAGAAUAGGGGUGCCCCUCAGUGGCCCUGUAGUGGCAGGUAUUUAAGCAAAUAAUAGAUGAUCUCUUACCCAAAGGUUCCCAUAACACGAGUUGUUACAUGAGUGUUUGAAUCAAGAGCUAAUUUGGCAAGCCCAAAGUCUGAAACCUGCAAAUUAAAAUCUAGAAACAGUUAAACCACAAUCUAAUUGAAACUAAUCAUAAACAAAUGUUAAAAGGGAAAAUUGUGCAUACCUUAGCUUCAUAGUUGUUAUCUAAGAGAAUAUUUGACGACUUAAUAUCCCUGUGAAUAAUCCGAGGAUGACCUGAACAAAUAAUAGUAAAUCAAAUGAAUAACACCUCCACCAUAUGUAGUCUAAUAAGGAAACCCAUUCAUUAUUUUAGCGUUAAGGAAAUAGCGCACCUAUCAAUGAACAUUAUAUGGCUGGAGUUCUUAUUAACAUGUUCUUAACUCUAGAUCAUCAGUAGUACCAAAAUUGAUAUUUUCAUACUAAUCUUGAUUGAGGUAGAAUUCUGUAUGUGCUUUAAGGAUGAGAAUAUUGUGAAAUUGCAUUCGGUUAUUAGAUCCUUGUUUUUUAUUACUGAAAGUUGGAUCAUAACUUUUGAAAAUGAAGAGUGGGUACGGAUGGAUGGCUUAACCUUUCAAUAACAAGAAUAGGGAAAAGGAAAGCAGUUGCCAAGUGUUGAAAAAGAACAAAAAACAGGUGAAUAAUGUCUUGAGUUAAUUUUGGAAGUGAAUGUGAACAUUAUCUAGCUAAUAAAAUCCAGAUUUGAAAUACUUACAGUCUUCAUGGAGAUAAGCUAUUCCCCGAGCUGCUCCAGCAGCAAUCUUAACACGUGUUGCCCAAUCCAGAGCCAGCCCACCCACCCCUACAGAAAGAAAGACCAACAAGCAUGACUGAUGAUCAUUUUUAUGAACUGACAUGCCAAAUCUCAUCUAUAAGUUGUAGCUUUACCGUGAAGAUGGAAAUAAAGGGUAUUGUUAGGGACAUAAUCAUAUACGAGCAAUCUUCGGGUCUCACAUAUGCAGUAGCCCACAAGAGAAACCAAAUGGCGGUGGUGUACGCGACUAAUAAUCUCAACUUCAGCUUUAAAUUCUCGCUCACCUUGCCCUCCACCAAUUUUUAGCUGUUUCACUGCCACAUCUCUCCCAUCUGGAAGGUAACCUUUGUAUACAGAACCAAAUCCACCUUCUCCCAAAAGGUUUUGGGAUGAAAACCCAUUUGUCGCCUUGACUAGCUCUUCAAACGCAAACAAAGGCCUUGAAUUACCUAAUCCGCUUGAUUCAGUUGGCAAAGAAACACAAUCACUGCUAGAACCACUUGCAAUUAGGGGAGCCGUAGAAUGAGUCUUUGUGAAAGUUGAACCUGAGGGGGCAAAUUUGAAAAACUUCAGAGUUCUUGUCAACAAUCUCAUUCAAAGUGCUUAGCAGCAAUCUCAUUAAAUGCAAGUUUGCUAAGAAUAGAUUACCUUCUUAGUAGGAGAAAUCAGAAUAGAUUAACCAAUUAUCUGUAUUUUUAUAAGAUCCAAACCAUAUGAUUUAGUUUUGCCAUUUUUAUUUGUUAAAGAAAAUAUGCUCUCGAACAUUUGAUUGUAUAUCAGAUGCAGUUCAAUUGGCAAAAGUUAAAUCAAAUUAUGAGAAUAAACACCAACCGAAGUUUUGGGACCCUCUUGGCAGAAUUCCGAAUAGCGUUACCUAGUGACUAGGAGUGGUACUAUUGAGAAAAGUCAUAACAAGCUAAAGAAGCAAAGGUGAAAUGCUGUUUAAAAUAAACACCUGAUCUUGGAGAAGAGCCCAAAGAAGAUGGCAUAACAUAAACACCAUUGAGUCCAGAAAUCUCUUUUCGCCGCCUCCUCAUGCACCAGAGAGCCAGUCCAACAAGGCUGAGCAUUAUAAUUCCUAUUGCUGCACCAAUAGCCACCAUACCUCCAGUACCGAUGCCCCCAUUACCUGUGGAGUUUGAACUUCCAGGUGAAUUAGGGGCGGUAUUGUUCGUGGGUGAUGGCGGGGAAACAAGUGCGCGUGGAGGCGGAGCCAAUCUUAUUUUUGGCGGUGACAAUGCUGGUGGAUUGGAAUCUGAUGGGACAGGUGUUGCUUGAGGAGAAGUUGGAGGAGUAAGCCUAGGAGGUGGGGGCACAUUACUGGGACGAGGGGCUAUUGAAAUUGGUGGACGUGGUGAAUUCUCAGGUGGAGUUGAUGCUGGUGGUGGAGGUGAUCUUCGAGGAGGUGGCAAGGAUGCUGGUGGGGGGGUCGGAGGAGGUGGUGGUGGUGAAUUUUGAGGUGGCCUAGAUGAGGGUUGUGAUGGAGGUGAACUCUGAGGUGGCGGUGUUGAUGGUGGUGGAGGUGAACUCUGAGGUGGCAGAGAUGGUGGUGGAGGUGAACUCUGAGGUGGCGGUGAUGAUG